GAGAGAGAGAGGUGAGAGAGGGUCUAGAGCGAGACACCGAGGGCCACACAAGAUGCGAGACGGUGACGUGAGGAUGCCAGGGACGCCGAGACGUGCGCAGAGAGCGACCGACAGAGGCGCGGGAGGCAGCGGGCCGUGACGUGCCAGAGAGCACAGAGGGCAGGCUAACGCUGGUGGCUGAGGCUCUCAGGUGGCCGCACCGGCUCUGUCUCCUUGGACCAUGCCAGGAGGAGCAUACCGGCACCGCCGGGAACGCAUCGUUCGUCCUGAGGCCCCGUGCCCCAUUCUUGCUCAUAGCGUCUGGAUUCAAGACUGGCGACAUCUACCUUGCCUUUAGAACAGAAACUCUCGAUGUUAUAAAAUUACUCCGUCUCCACGCUCCUAAGUCACACCUCCUGAUGACCGCAUGAUCACUUUCUCUUUGGAGAAGCCGAUCUCUAUUGAUGCCUUCCUUGAUGAACAUUUCAAGUCAUGUGCGGACUUUUCGUUUUGAAUCGUUUCAAACACCUGUGAGCUCAGGGCUCAAAGAGCCUUUGGGGACAGCACCUUGAGACACAUCCCUCCCUCUCCCCUUCAAAUUCUCCCUCUUCAAGUAAUUUACAAAUUUGUUCCUUUGGAAAUAAUUACUUUAUUUUUGUUUUGUAGCUAUUUUUUUUUGACGUGUGACUUUUCUUUAGAAAUGUGUUUUAAAGACCAGAUCCAUAGGUAGGCAAUAAUUGCCUUGACCCAGCCAGGAUUCCGUUCUUGAUGCCCCCAGAAACCCAAAGCGUUCCUGCUGGGCACAGCGCAGACCUCGGGCUGUUCUGCACUCGCCCCUAGGCAUUUCAGCCUAGCCGGGAAGGUUUGAACAACUACCUUGGUUCCGAGUGGAGUCCUGAACAGUAUCGGCAUUGGAGGCCACACGCAGGGCCGGGAAGUAGUGGCUGCGAGUGCCUCCGCUCUCUGGGGCCCCAAGACUCACUCAGCAGCUCCUGCACGCAGAUAUCCACGCCGUGUGUAGGCAGCCCGGGGGUCUCCCACUGGCUUCUCCCGCAGGUAUGCACAGGU
rnacentral:lncRNA from 1 species